CAGGCUUCACUACCUAGGAGUUCAAAAGGAAAAAGACAAUCAGAUCUUCACGGGGAGUCCAGCGAAAGGCAACCACCAACUAAAAGACAGCGUGACUCAGCGAAAGAAACAAGAAUAUUAUCUGAAGUGAAAGACAUAAUGAAAGAAGUCAAGGACCAUAUAAACGACAAAGAACAGCUUGGUG